AAACACUCCGAGCACACAGAGUGUGAUAUAAACCGGCGUUAUCACAUAUUAACGGCGAUGAUUAACUAAAUAGUCUCUAACGAGCUGUGGAAAACGGAAA